CCUACGGGAGGCAGCAGUGAGGAAUAUUGGUCAAUGGACGAGAGUCUGAACCAGCCAAGUAGCGUGAAGGAUGACUGCCCUAUGGGUUGUAAACUUCUUUUAUAUGGGAAUAAAAUGUUCCACGUGUGGGAUUUUGUAUGUACCAUAUGAAGAAGGAUCGGCUAACUCCGUGCCAGCAGCCGCGGUAAUACGGAGGAUCCGAGCGUUAUCCGGAUUGAUUGGGUUUAAAGGGAGCGUAGGUGGAUUGUUAAGUCAGUUGUGAAAGUUUGCGGCUCAACCGUAAAAUUGCAGUUGAAACUGGCAGUCUUGAGUACAGUAGAGGUGGGCGGAAUUCGUGGUGUAGCGGUGAAAUGCUUAGAUAUCACGAAGAACUCCGAUUGCGAAGGCAGCUCACUGGACUGCAACUGACACUGAGGCUCGAAAGUGUGGGUAUCAAACAGGAUUAGAUACCCGAGUAGUC
rnacentral:rRNA from 1 species